rnacentral:miRNA from 1 species
ACUCAGUCAUGCUCAUC